rnacentral:rRNA from 1 species
GACGAACCGUGCGAACGUUGUUCGGAAUCACUGGGCUUAAAGGGCGCGUAGGCGGGCCCGCAAGUCAGGGGUGAAAUCCCACGGCUCAACCGUGGAAGUGCCUUUGAUACUGUGGGUCUGGAGGGAGGUAGGGGCGUGCGGAACUUCCGGUGGAGCGGUGAAAUGCGUAGAUAUCGGAAGGAACACCGGUGGCGAAAGCGGCGCGCUGGACCUCUACUGACGCUGAGGCGCGAAAGCCAGGGGAGCAAAGCGGG